AACGAACGCUGGCGGCAUGCCUAACACAUGCAAGUCGAACGAGACCUUCGGGUCUAGUGGCGCACGGGUGCGUAACGCGUGGGAACCUGCCCUUAGGUUCGGAAUAACUCCCCGAAAGGGGUGCUAAUACCGGAUAAUGUCUUCGGACCAAAGAUUUAUCGCCUUUGGAUGGGCCCGCGUUGGAUUAGCUAGUUGGUAGGGUAAAAGCCUACCAAGGCGACGAUCCAUAGCUGGUCUGAGAGGAUGAUCAGCCACACUGGGACUGAGACACGGCCCAGACUCCUACGGGAGGCAGCGGUGGGGAAUAUUGGAGAAUGGGCGAAAGCCUGAUCCAGCAAUGCCGCGUGAGUGAUGAAGGCCUUAGGGUUGUAAAGCUCUUUUACCCGGGAUGAUAAUGACAGUACCGGGAGAAUAAGCUCCGGCUAACUCCGUG
rnacentral:rRNA from 1 species